rnacentral:rRNA from 1 species
GGUCGGUGAACCAGCCGCAGAUCAUUACUAAAAACCUUUUUUCCCCCUGCGCAUCCAGAAAUACGCAGGCUGUUUAGAUGCGGCGAUCGACAGAGAAGCCCGUAAAAAUCAUAAUUAGUGAGGAGCAGGGUACUGCUGCUUAGAUAUAAAUUAUAAGAACCCCUGGUACGGGAUCAAUUGACUCUGGCAGCGAUGACGGACGCAUAAGAGUGCGAAAAGAGAAAUUCUCUGUCCGAAUUUACUAUUUUUGAUAGUAGAC